GGUUGCGAUCAUACCAGCCAGUAAUGCACCGGAUCCCAUCAGAACUCCGCAGUUAAGCGUGCUUGGGCGAGAGUAGUACUAGGAUGGGUGACCCCUUGGGAAGUCCUCGUGUUGCAACCC
rnacentral:rRNA from 1 species